CCUACGGGAGGCAGCAGUGGGGAAUAUUGCACAAUGGGGGAAACCCUGAUGCAGCGACGCCGCGUGAGUGAAGAAGUAAUUCGUUAUGUAAAGCUCUAUCAGCAGGGAAGAAAAUGACGGUACCUGAGUAAGAAGCCCCGGCUAACUACGUGCCAGCAGCCGCGGUAAUACGUAGGGGGCAAGCGUUAUCCGGAUUUACUGGGUGUAAAGGGAGCGUAGACGGCAGUGCAAGUCUGGAGUGAAAGGCGGGGGCCCAACCACGGGACUGCUUUGGAAACUGUGUUGCUGGAGUGCAGGAGGGGUAAGCGGAAUUCCUAGUGUAGCGGUGAAAUGCGUAGAUAUUAGGAGGAACACCGGUGGCGAAGGCGGCUUACUGGACUGUAACUGACGUUGAGGCUCGAAGGCGUGGGGAGCAAACAGGAUUAGAUACCCCUGUAGUC
rnacentral:rRNA from 1 species